rnacentral:lncRNA from 1 species
GUAAUUUUAGAUUUUAAAUAUAGGAACUAUUUUUUGAUUUUAACUAAAAUGACAGGCUGUGAUAAAUUUUAUCAACUAUAUACACCAUCGAUGAUACAACCUCACUAAGUUUCUCCCUGAUGAAACACAUAACCAUGUCCGAAAGCUUGGAAUAAAUUUAUAAGAGUA